UGCAGGCUGCAACUCGCCUGCACGAAGUUGGAAUUGCUAGUAAUCGUGGAUCAGCAUGCCACGGUGAAUACGUUCCCGGGUCUUGUACACACCGCCCGUCACACCAUGGGAGCCGGUAAUACCCGAAGUCAGUAGUCUAACCGCAAGGAGGACGCUGCCGAAGGUAGGAUUGGCGACUGGGGUGAAGUCGUAACAAGGUAGC
rnacentral:rRNA from 1 species